AUUGAACGCUGGCGGCAGGCCUAACACAUGCAAGUCGAACGGUAACAGAAAGCUUCUUGCUGCUUUGCUGACCAGUGGCGGACGUGUGAGUAAUGACUGUGCCAGUUCCUGAUGGAGGGGGUUACGAACCGGACGCGGAGCCAGCACCCGUCUAGCGUGGCAAAGCAAAGGAUGGUCGCAUCUGGCCCUAUCCCAUCGGCCUAGGUGGGAUUAGCUAGUAGGUGGGGUAACGGCACACCUAGGCGACGAUCCGUAACUGGUCUGAGAGGAUGACCAGCCACACUGGAACUGAGACACGGUCCAGACUCCUGCGGGAGGCAGCAGUGGGGAAUAUUGCACAAUGGGCGCAAGACUGAUGCAGCCAUGCCGAGUGUAUGAAGAAGGUCUUCGGAUUGUAAAGUACUUUAAGCGGGGAGGAAGGGAAUAAAGUUAAUACCUUGGCUCAUUGACGUUACCCGCAGAAGAAGCACCGGCUAACUCCGUG
rnacentral:rRNA from 1 species